UACGUAGGGCGCAAGCGUUGUCCGGAAUUAUUGGGCGUAAAGCGUGCGCAGGCGGUUUGUCGCGUCUGCCGUGAAAGUCCGGGGCUCAACUCCGGAUCUGCGGUGGGUACGGGCAGACUAGAGUGAUGUAGGGGAGACUGGAAUUCCUGGUGUAGCGGUGAAAUGCGCAGAUAUCAGGAGGAACACCGAUGGCGAAGGCAGGUCUCUGGGCAUUAACUGACGCUGAGGAGCGAAAGCAUGGGGAGCGAACAGG
rnacentral:rRNA from 1 species